rnacentral:rRNA from 1 species
CACGUAGGGCGCAAGCGUUGUCCGGAAUUAUUGGGCGUAAAGAGCUCGUAGGCGGUCUGUUGCGUCCGCUGUGAAAACUCGGGGCUUAACCCCGAGCCUGCAGUGGAUACGGGCAGACUAGAGGUAGGUAGGGGAGAAUGGAAUUCCCGGUGUAGCGGUGAAAUGCGCAGAUAUCGGGAGGAACACCUGUGGCGAAGGCGGCCCCCUGGCCGGCCCUGACACUGAGACGCGAAGGCGUGGGGAGCGAACGGG